rnacentral:rRNA from 1 species
GAUGAACGCUAGCGAUAGGCUUAACACAUGCAAGUCGAGGGGCAGCACAAGGUAGCUUGCUAUCUGGGUGGCGACCGGCGCACGGGUGCGUAACGCGUAUGCAACUUGCCCUAUACAGGAGGAUAACCCGUCGAAAGACGGACUAAUACUGCGUAUGCUCACAACUUGGCAUCAAGUGGUGAGGAAAGAAAUUCGGUAUAGGAUAGGCAUGCGUCCCAUUAGCUUGUUGGUGAGGUAACGGCUCACCAAGGCAACGAUGGGUAGGGGAACUGAGAGGUUUAUCCCCAACACUGGUACUGAGACACGGACCAGACUCCUACGGGAGGCAGCAGUGAGGAAUAUUGGGCAAUGGGCGCGAGCCUGAACCAGCCAAGUCGCGUGAAGGAUGACUGUCUUAUGGAUUGUAAACUUCUUUUAUACGGGAAUAACAAGAGUCACGGGUGACUCCCUGCAUGUACCGGAUGAAUAAGCAUCGGCUAACUCCGUG